rnacentral:rRNA from 1 species
CCUACGGGAGGCAGCAGUGGGGGAUAUUGCACAAUGGGGGGAACCCUGAUGCAGCGACGCCGCGUGGGUGAAGGAGUGCUUCGGCAUGUAAAGCCCUAUCGGCAGGGAAGAAGCAAGACGGUACCUGACUAAGAAGCCCCGGCUAACUACGUGCCAGCAGCCGCGGUAAUACGUAGGGGGCGAGCGUUAUCCGGAUUCACUGGGUGUAAAGGGAGCGUAGACGGCAGUGCAAGUCUGGAGUGAAAGGCGGGGGGCCAACCCCCGGACUGCUCUGGAAACUGUACGGCGGGAGUGCAGGAGAGGUAAGUGGAAUUCCUAGUGUAGCGGUGAAAUGCGUAGAUAUUAGGAGGAACACCAGUGGCGAAGGCGGCUUACUGGACUGUAACUGACGUUGAGGCUCGAAAGCGUGGGGAGCAAACAGGAUUAGACACCCGAGUAGUC